rnacentral:rRNA from 1 species
CAAUAGCGUAUAUUUAAGUUGCUGCAGUUAAAAAGCUCGUAGUUGGAUUUCGGGUGGGAAUGGCCGGUCCGCCGUUUCGGUGUGCACUUGCUACGCCCACCUUGCUGCCGGGGACGUGCUCUUGAGUUCACGCUCGGGACACGGAGUCGGCGAGGUUACUUUGAGUAAAUUAGAGUGUUCAAAGCAGGCGUUUUGCUCGAAUAUAUUAGCAUGGAAUAAUAGAAUAGGACGAUUGGUUCUAUUUUGUUGGUUUCUAGGACCAUCGUAAUGAUUAAUAGGGACGGUCGGGGGCAUCAGUAUUCAGUUGUCAGAGGUGAAAUUCUUGGAUUUACUGAAGACUAACUACUGCGAAAGCAUUUGUCAAGGACGUUUUCAUUAA